rnacentral:ncRNA from 1 species
UAUUAUCAGCGUCCUGUUGGUGCUGUUAACAAUCUGUUAAGAGCUUAAAAGGGAAUCUGGUGUAAAUCCAGAACUGACGCGCAGCGGUAAAUAGAAGACUAAAUCUCCCUAGACACUGCAUUUUAUGUGGGAAGUCGAGGUUUCGGCCGUCGUAUUAUUGCGAUCAUAUUCUUAAGUCCGAAGACCUGCCAACAGCCGGGACAACAU